UACGUAGGGGGCUAGCGUUGUCCGGAAUCAUUGGGCGUAAAGCGCGCGUAGGCGCCCGAUAAGUCUGCUGUGAAAGUCCAGGGCUCAACCCUGGAAUGCCGGUGGAUACUGUCGGGCUAGAGUUCGGAAGAGGCAAGUGGAAUUCCUGGUGUAGCGGUGGAAUGCGCAGAUAUCAGGAGGAACACCUAUAGCGAAGGCAGCUUGCUGGGACGACACUGACGCUGAGGCGCGAAAGCGUGGGGAGCGAACAGG
rnacentral:rRNA from 1 species